GAUGAAGAACGCAGCGAAAUGCGAUAAGUAAUGUGAAUUGCAGAAUUCAGUGAAUCAUCGAAUCUUUGAACGCACAUUGCGCCCGCCAGUAUUCUGGCGGGCAUGCCUGUUCGAGCGUCAUUUCAACCAUCAAGCCCCCGGCUUGUGUUGGGGACCUGCGGCUGCCGCAGGCCCUGAAAUGCAGUGGCGGGCUCGCUGUCACUCCGAGCGUAGUAGUUACAUCUCGCUCUGGGCGUGCUGCGGGUUCCGGCCGUUAAAAGCCUUAUUUACCCAAGGUUGACCUCGUAUCAGGUAGGAAGACCCGCUGAACUUAAGCAUAUCAAUAAGCGGAGGA
rnacentral:misc_RNA from 1 species